UUUCCGUAGGUGAACCUGCGGAAGGAUCAUUAUUGUAUAACCCAGGUUCGAGGCCUUUCGCGGACCCGACAGUUCGUUCCCGCGGCAGGGCCCUCACGGACAUUCAUCUCACCCCAAUCUGCACCACCGCGUGGGUCCGCAGUUGGCUUGUUCGGAGGGGGGCUUACGUUUUCACGCAAAAGUUGAAGGAAGUGAAGAAUGUAUGGUUUGUUUUUGCGUUCACGCAACGAAUAAAACUAUAAACAACGGAGAGAGUGGCUCUCGCAACGAUGAAGAAGG
rnacentral:misc_RNA from 1 species